GGAUGGUAUCAAGUCAGUUUCCUGGCUGUGACACUCUCCUGUAAGAUGUCACCAUGAGAGGGAACUCGGAAGAGUAUGUGAGAUUUUCCUGUAUUUCCACCCUGUAUCAGCAUUUGAAUCAUGUAUAAGAGAAAAGCUAAAAAUACAAAUCUCUGGUGCCAGACCUGUCUCUAGGAGACAUGGCCUCUUGGCCAUGGCCCCCGCAACCUCACUUGUUGGCAGCACCCAGGUGAUUCUGUGCACAGCUGGUCGGAUGGUCAGGACUCACUGUUUAGGGGAAAGCUGAGACCAUGGGAGCUGUGCAGCCCCCACGUGCUGAUGGGUUCAUCAUGACCUGGGAGUAUUUUCAGUUGUUGUUAGAGGUGGAAGCUUGGCAGUUGGCCUCCCUUCUUCCCAUGGAGGACGGGGGCUUAACAGCCUUUGAAGAGGACCAGAGAUGCCUUUCCCAGAGCCUCCCCUUGCCAGUGUCAGCAGAGGGCCCAGCUGCACAGACCACUGCUGAGCCCAGCAGGUCGUUUUCCUCAGCCCACAGACACCUGAGCAGAAGGAAUGGGCUUUCCAGACUCUGCCAGAGCAGGACGGCGCUCUCUGAAGACAGAUGGAGCUCCUAUUGUCUAUCAUCACUGGCUGCCCAGAAUAUUUGUACAAGUAAACUGCACUGCCCUGCUGCCCCCGAGCACACGGACCCGUCCGAGCCCCGGGGCAGUGUGUCCUGCUGCUCCCUGCUGCGGGGACUGUCCUCAGGGUGGUCCUCACCUCUGCUUCCGGCCCCUGUGUGCAACCCUAACAAGGCCAUCUUCACGGUGGAUGCCAAGACCACAGAGAUCCUGGUUACUAACGACAAAGCUUGCAGGCUCCUGGGGUACAGCAGCCAGGACCUGAUUGGCCAGAAGCUCACGCAGUUCUUUCUGAGGUCAGAUUCUGAUGUGGUGGAGGCCCUCAGCGAGGAGCACAUGGAGGCCGACGGCCACGCCGCGGUGGUGUUUGGCACGGUGGUGGACAUCAUCAGCCGUAGUGGGGAGAAGAUUCCAGUGUCUGUGUGGAUGAAGAGGAUGCGGCAGGAGCACCGCCUAUGCUGCGUGGUGGUCCUGGAGCCCGUGGAGAGGGUCUCGACCUGGGUCGCUUUCCAGAGCGAUGGCACCGUCACGUCGUGCGACAGUCUCUUUGCUCAUCUUCACGGGUACGUGUCUGGGGAGGACGUGGCUGGGCAGCAUAUCACAGACCUGAUCCCUUCUGUGCAGCUCCCUCCUUCUGGCCAGCACAUCCCAAAGAAUCUCAAGAUUCAGAGGUCUGUUGGAAGAGCCAGGGACGGUACCACCUUCCCUCUGAGCUUAAAGCUGAAUUCCCAACCCAGCAGCGAGGAGGCGACCACCGGUGAGGCGGCCCCUGUGAGGGGCUACCGGGCAUCUGUCUGGGUGUUCUGCACCAUCAGUGGCCUCGUCACCCUCCUGCCGGAUGGGACCAUCCACGGCAUCAACCACAGCUUCGCGCUGACACUGUUUGGUUACGGAAAGACGGAGCUCCUGGGCAAGAAUAUCACUUUCCUGAUUCCUGGUUUCUACAGCUACAUGGACCUUGCGUACAACAGCUCAUUACAGCUCCCAGACCUGGCCAGCUGCCUGGACGUCGGCGAUGAGAGUGGGUGUGGGGAGAGAACCUUGGACCCGUGGCAGGGCCAGGACCCAGCUGAGGGGGGCCAGGAUCCAAGGAUUAAUGUCGUGCUUGCUGGUGGCCACGUUGUGCCCCGAGAUGAGACCCGGAAGCUGAUGGAAAGCCAAGACAUCUUCACCGGGACUCAGACUGAGCUGAUUGCUGGAGGCCAGCUCCUUUCCUGCCUCUCACCUCAGCCUGCUCCAGGGGUGGACAGUGUCCCAGAAGGAAGCCUGCCAGUGCACGGUGAACAGGCGCUGCCCAAGGACCAGCAAAUCACUGCCUUGGGGAGGGAGGAACCUGUGGCAAUAGAGAGCCCCAGACAGGAUCUUCUGGGAGAAAGCAGGUCUGAACCAGUGGAUGUGAAGCCAUUUGCUUCCUGCGAAGAUUCGGAAGCUCCAGUCCCAGCUGAGGAUGGGGGCAGUGAUGCUGGCAUGUGUGGCCUGUGUCAGAAGGCCCAGCUAGAGCGGAUGGGAGUCAGUGGUCCCAGCGGUUCAGACCUUUGGGCUGGGGCUGCCGUGGCCGAGCCCCAGGCCAAGGGUCAGCUGGCGGGGGGCAGCCUCCUGAUGCACUGCCCUUGCUACGGGAGUGAAUGGGGCUUGUGGUGGCGGAGCCAGGACUUGGCCCCCAGCCCCUCUGGGAUGGCAGGCCUCUCGUUUGGGACACCUACUCUAGAUGAGCCGUGGCUGGGAGUGAAAAACGACCGAGAAGAGCUGCAGACCUGCUUGAUUAAGGAGCAGCUGUCCCAGUUGAGCCUUGCGGGAGCCCUGGAUGUCCCCCACGCCGAACUCGUUCCAACAGAGUGCCCGGCUGUCACCGCUCCUGUGUCGUCCUGCGAUCUGGGAGGCAGAGACCUGUGCGGUGGCUGCACGGGCAGCUCCUCAGCCUGCUAUGCCUUGGCCGCCGACCUCCCUGGGGGCCUGGAAGCAGUGGAGGCCCAGGAGGUUGAUGUGAAUUCGUUUUCCUGGAACUUCAAGGAACUCUUUUUCAGUGACCAGACAGACCAAACGUCAUCAAAUUGUUCCUGUGCUACGUCUGAACUCAGAGAGACACCCUCUUCCUUGGCAGCGGGCUCCGAUCCAGAUGUAGGCAGUCUCCAGGAACAGGGGUCGUGUGUCCUGGAUGACAGGGAGCUGUUACUACUGACCGGCACCUGUGUUGACCUUGGCCAAGGCCGACGGUUCCGGGAGAGCUGUGUGGGACAUGAUCCAACAGAACUGCUUGAGGUUUGUUUGGUGUCCUCUGAGCAUUAUGCAGCAAGCGACAGAGAAAGCCCAGGACGCGUUCCUUCCACGUUGGAUGCUGGCCCUGAGGACACGUGCCCAUCAGCAGAGGAGCCAAGGCUGAACGUCCAGGUCACCUCCACGCCCGUGAUCGUGAUGCGCGGGGCUGCUGGCCUGCAGCGGGAGAUCCAGGAGGGUACCUACUCCGGGAGCUGCUACCAUCGAGACGGCUUACGGCUGAGUAUACAGUUUGAGGUGAGGCGGGUGGAGCUCCAGGGCCCCACACCUCUGUUCUGCUGCUGGCUGGUGAAAGACCUCCUCCACAGCCAACGCGACUCAGCCGCCAGGACCCGCCUGUUCCUUGCCAGCCUGCCCGGCUCCACCCACUCUACCGCUGCUGAGCUCACCGGACCCAGCCUGGUGGAAGUGCUCAGAGCCAGACCCUGGUUUGAGGAGCCCCCCAAGGCUGUGGAACUGGAGGGGUUGGCGGCCUGUGAGGGCGAGUACUCCCAAAAGUACAGUACCAUGAGCCCGCUGGGCAGUGGGGCCUUCGGCUUCGUGUGGACUGCUGUGGACAAGGAAAAAAACAAGGAGGUGGUGGUGAAGUUUAUUAAGAAGGAGAAGGUCUUGGAGGAUUGUUGGAUUGAGGAUCCCAAACUUGGGAAAGUUACUUUAGAGAUCGCAAUUCUAUCCAGGGUGGAGCACGCCAAUAUCAUCAAGGUAUUGGAUGUAUUUGAAAACCAAGGGUUCUUCCAGCUCGUGAUGGAGAAGCACGGCUCCGGCCUAGACCUCUUCGCUUUCAUUGACCGCCACCCCAGGCUGGAUGAGCCCCUGGCGAGCUACAUCUUCCGACAACUAGUGUCAGCAGUGGGAUACCUGCGCUUGAAGGACAUCAUCCACCGUGACAUCAAGGAUGAGAACAUCGUGAUUGCCGAGGACUUCACAAUCAAGCUGAUAGACUUUGGCUCGGCCGCCUACUUGGAAAGGGGAAAAUUAUUUUAUACUUUCUGUGGGACCAUCGAGUACUGUGCACCGGAAGUUCUCAUGGGGAAUCCUCUUGUCCUGCAGCACCCUUCACAUCGUCGCCACAGCCAUCUUCCUAAAGGGCAUGUGUGUCCAUGGUCACACCAAGCCCGUUCACACCAAGAUCGUGAACAUGCCCGAUCACGUCUGAAGGGCACGUGACCCUGUUCUGAAGUGGCCUGCAGCUCCCGUGGCCCUCAGCAAAGCCAAUGGACGUGUACUCUGCUUCCUCCAGGAAGCCCUCCCCCUCUGGUGGACACGUCUUGUGGUUGGUGUCCACAAGGAAGUUCCUGAUUAGCCUCGGAGCUGCCCGAUGGCCUCUCCACUCCUGGCACAUGGCCUGCUGGCUGGCCUGGGGCAGAACUACAGAGGGCCGGAGCUGGAGAUGUGGUCUCUGGGAGUCACUCUGUACACGCUGGUCUUUGAGGAGAACCCCUUCUGUGAGCUGGAGGAGACCGUGGAGGCUGCCAUACACCCGCCAUACCUGGUGUCCAAAGAACUCAUGAGCCUUGUGUCUGGGCUGCUGCAGCCAGUCCCUGAGAAGCGCACCACCUUGGAGAAGCUGGUGACAGACCCGUGGGUAACACAGCCUGUGAAUCUUGCUGACUAUACAUGGGAAGAGGUGUGUCGAGUAAACAAGCCAGAAAGCGGAGUUCUGUCCACUGCGAGCCUGGAGAUGGGGAACAGGAGCCUGAGUGAUGUGGCCCAGGCUCAGGAGCUUUGUGGGGGCCCCGUUCCAGGCGAGGCUCCUAAUGGCCAAGGCUGUUUGCAUCCCGGGGAUCCCCGUCUGCUGACCAGCUAAACACCAAUUUCUUCCUGCUUUUCUCCACUUGGUUUGGAAAAUCACACAGUUUUCAGGCUCCAUCUGUUUGGAGAAAAUACAUUCUGAAGCAUCCCCAAUUCACCUUCUAAAAACUCAUGUGCAGGUUUGAUAAACACCAGAACAGAAGACAGUGAUGCUGUAUUAUUUUAGGUUUAUUACAUAGAUUUGGAAUUCACUUUUUUCAUCACCUAGAAAAAAACAUUCCAGUGUUCAACUGUUUUAUAUUACUAAAGGGCUUUUAAUUUGUGAACUUCUGAAGGCAUGAGUGUUUUCUCUUUCUACUUUUGUAUAUGUGCAUGUUUUGUUUCCUCUGACUUGGUAUAUGCUCAUCUGAGCGACGGAUAUGUGAAAUUUGUAGAACUGGUUAGUCAAAUGGCCAGACUAUUUCAUUAAUUUAUUUCCUCAAAUGCUUUUCAAAUUAAAGCACCUUUGUUAGUAAACAGUUA